rnacentral:rRNA from 1 species
GACGAACGCUGGCGGCGUGCUUAACACAUGCAAGUCGAGCGGAAAGGCCACUUCGGUGGUACUCGAGCGGCGAACGGGUGAGUAACACGUGAGUAAUCUGCCCCUGGCUUUGGGAUAGCCACCGGAAACGGUGAUUAAUACCGGAUAUGACCACGUCUCGCAUGGGGUGUGGUGGAAAGUUUUUCGGCCAGGGAUGUGCUGGCGGCCUAUCAGCUUGAUGGUGAGGUAAUGGCUCACCAUGGCUUCGACGGGUAGCCGGCCUGAGAGGGUGACCGGUCACACUGGGACUGAGACACGGCCCAGACUCCUACGGGAGGCAGCAGUGGGGAAUAUUGGACAAUGGGCGGAAGCCUGAUCCAGCAACGCCGCGUGAGGGAUGACGGCCUUCGGGUUGUAAACCUCCUUCAGUACCGACGAAGCGCAAGUGACGGUAGGUACAGAAGAAGCACCGGCCAACUACGUGCCAGCCGCCGCCGUAACAC